rnacentral:rRNA from 1 species
AGUGAACGCUGGCGGCAGGCCUAAUACAUGCAAGUCGAACGGCAGCACAGCAGAGCUUGCUCUGUGGGUGGCGAGUGGCGGACGGGUGAGGAAUACGUGGGAAUCUGCCCAGUCGUGGGGGAUAACGUAGGGAAACUUACGCUAAUACCGCAUGCGCCCUUCGGGGGAAAGCCGGGGACCUUCGGGCCUGGCGCGAUUGGAUGAGCCCACGUCGGAUUAGCUAGUUGGCGGGGUAAUGGCCCACCAAGGCGACGAUCCGUAGCUGGUCUGAGAGGAUGAUCAGCCACACUGGAACUGAGACACGGUCCAGACUCCUACGGGAGGCAGCAGUAGGGAAUAUUGGACAAUGGGCGCAAGCCUGAUCCAGCCAUGCCGCGUGAGUGAAGAAGGCCUUCGGGUUGUAAAGCUCUUUUGUCCGGAAAGAAAAGCUUCGGGUUAAUACCCUGGAGUCCUGACGGUACCGGAAGAAUAAGCACCGGCUAACUUCGUGCCAGCAGCCGCCGUAAGAC